rnacentral:rRNA from 2 species
GACGAACCUCCCAAACGUUAUUCGGAAUCACUGGGCUUAAAGGGUGCGUAGGCUGCGUAGUUAGUCGGGUGUGAAAUCCCCCAGCUUAACUGAGGAAUUGCGCCCGAUACUGCUGCGCUGGAGGGAGACAGAGGUAAGCGGAACUGAUGGUGGAGCGGUGAAAUGCGUUGAUAUCAUCAGGAACACCAGUGGCGAAAGCGGCUUACUGGGUCUCUUCUGACGCUGAGGCACGAAAGCUAGGGGAGCAAACGGG